rnacentral:ncRNA from 2 species
CACAUCGACCGCGGGAGCUCGCAGCAAAGCGGGCUGAGAGGGCGGCUGGGCAACGAUCCCGGCGCCGCCGACCGCCUGAACCUGUACCGGGUAAUGCCGGCGUAGGGAGGAUUCGCCAUGACGGCCU